ACUCAAAUGAAUUGACGGGGACCUGCACAAGUGGUGGAGCGUGGGGUUUAAUUCGUCACUAAGCGAAGAACCUUACCAAGGUUUGACAUCUCUGGAAAGCUCUGGAAACAGAGCCGUGCCGCAAGGAACCAGAUGACAGGUGUUGCACGGUUGUCGUCAGCUCGUGCCGUGAGGUGUACCGUUCAGUCGGCCAACGAGCGCAACCCGCAUCCUGUGUUGUAUUUUUCACAGGAAACUGCCUCGGUUAACGGGGAGGAAGGUGCGGAUGACGUCAAAUCAGCGUGGCCCUUACACCUUGGGCGACACCCGCGCUACAAUGGGGAGUAACAAUGGGUUGCUAAACCGUAAGGUGGAGCUAAUCCCAGCAAACCUCCCCCCAGUUCGGAUUGGAGUCUGCAACUCGACUCCAUGAAGUCGGAAUCACUAGUAACGGCCGGUCAGCCAUACGGCCGUGAAUACGUUCUCAGGUCUUGUACACACCGCCCGU
rnacentral:rRNA from 1 species